GUGCUCAUGUCAGGACAUAUACUAAAACUUGAAAGAUACAGAGGUUUGCAUAGCCUGUGUGCAAGGAUGACAUGCAAAUUCACGAAGCAUUCCAUAGUUUG
rnacentral:snRNA from 1 species